UACGUAGGGGGCAAGCGUUGUCCGGAAUCAUUGGGCGUAAAGCGCGCGUAGGCGGCCCUGUAAGUCCGUUGUGAAAGUCAAAGGCUCAACCUUUGAAAGCCGAUGGAUACUGCAGGGCUAGAGUCCGGAAGAGGCGAGUGGAAUUCCUGGUGUAGCGGUGGAAUGCGCAGAUAUCAGGAGGAACACCUAUGGCGAAGGCAGCUCUCUGGGACGGUACUGACGCUGAGACGCGAAAGCGUGGGGAGCGAACAGG
rnacentral:rRNA from 1 species